CCUAGUUUAACAUCGAAACAACUCUCCCCUUCUGCGAUUUGUGAAACUCUCCCCUUCUGCUGAGAAUGAACUGAAGAGCUGCGAACGACUGAACAUAGUGAAGAGCUGAGAACGAAAUAGCUGAGAACACUCUUUCUCUUCUGCGAUUUGUGAGAAAUAGCUGGUAAAGAGAAGUGAAGCGUUGAAGUCAAAGAAGAACUGAGCUGAAUAGUUGAAGAUUUGAAGUCACUGAUAAUUCAAGUCAUCUCUUCAAUAACGAUUUCCUGAAGAAACUGGUUGUUUACAAGAUGAUGAAAUGAAGUUAAAUAGUCUCUCUCUCACGCUUUUCUCUCCAAUUUCUCACUGAAGAAAAGGAUUCCAGACUGCUUUUGUUGGAAUAGGAUUUAUUAGAUCAGUUUUUCAAGGUUUGUUCGAGUUCGAGAAUCUGCCCGAAAUUCUCAUGUGUCGUUAGUGUUCGAGUUUCGUGGUGAAGAUCGUUUCCCUGCUCCUCUCUUUCGUGUUCAGUGCCCGCAAAAA